rnacentral:lncRNA from 1 species
CUGCUCCGGGAAGCACUUCACUGAGCUGGGGCUGGUAGGGUUGCUGGAACAGGCAGCCGGCUACUUCACCAUGAGAUGGGAUCUUGCUAUGUUGCCCAGGCUGGGCUUGAACUCCUAGACUCAUGCAACCCUCUCGCCUCGGCCUUCCAAAGUGCUGGGAUUACAGGCGUGAGCCAGCAUGCCCGGCAACUGAUUUUCCACUGUGGAAAAGGGGUUUUCUUCUCUAGUUUGCUUGUUUGUAUGAGGGCAGUUGGUGGUUUCUACAUUUAACUUGCAGGAG